rnacentral:rRNA from 1 species
UAUCUCUGUAGAGUCUGCAUAUCAAUAAGCGGAGGAAAAGAAACUAACAAGGAUUCCCUUAGUAACGGCGAGUGAAGCGGGAAGAGCUCAAAUUUGAAAUCUUCAAGGUUCUACCUUGACGAAUUGUAGUUUAAAGAAGUGUCUUCUGUUAGAUGAGUAGCAAAAGUUCCUUGGAAUGGGACAGUCAUAGAGGGUGAGAAUCCCGUAUUUGGUUAUUCAUUCUAGCUUUGUGAUACACUUUCAAAGAGUCGGAUUGUUUGGGAAUGCAGUCCAAAAUGGGUGGUAAAUUUCAUCUAAAGCUAAAUAUUGGCGAGAGACCGAUAGCGAACAAGUACCGUGAGGGAAAGAUGAAAAGAACUUUGAAAAGAGAGUUAAACAGUACGUGGAAAUUGUCAAAAGGGAAGCGUUUGACACCAGUGUUGUUUUCUCGAAAAUCAAUUACAAAUGGCUUGAUUUUGUGUUGUAUUGACCUUAUCAAGCUUUCUUCACUUUUUUCGAGUCUUUCUUAAUGCACUUUUCGGUUAACAAGUCAACAUCAAUUUCUUUUGUUGUAAAAGAGUAUUCGGAAGGUGGCUUUCUUUUCGGAGAAAGUGUUUAUAGCCCUAUACUUCUACAAUCGGAGAGAUUGAGGUCUGCAGCGUAGAUCCUUCGGGGUUAGAUACACUUGUGCUAAGUUGUAGCUUUUCAUAGACAACUUGUUGACUAUGUUUAGUCAUGCGGCUUACUCGCUAGUGCUAUUUUACCUACGCUUAGGAUGUUGACUGAUAUGUAGUCGUA